rnacentral:lncRNA from 1 species
GGCCUGGUCAGUCCCCCAGCUUUCCUAGCGACAUCAUAGUGCAAGUUUCCUAAGCUCUGUGAGCUUCCCAAGCCUCAUGAUUCUCCUUCCGCCCUUUGCUGGGGUGUUGCAGGCUGGAGGAAAUAGCUACCCAACAUGGAUGUAGUUUACUCCUUGUCUCAGUGAGACAGAAGGGAAAGAAAUGCACAACAGUGGUUCCAGUAACCCAUUAAAGUCAGCCGCAAGCUCCAGCUGCAUCCAUGUCUGCAUGUCGGUCGCUGCUGUAUCUGCAGUUUCCCUUGUGUUCCCCAGCCUUCUGAGCUAUGAGAGAGCGACCAGGUGUGGCAAGCCACCUCAUCUCUUAGGAGCAAACUUUGUAUGCCGAGAAGCUCCAGCCCCACCCUGGAAACCUGUAGCUCUUCUGAGGCCAGAGUACUGGGCAGACUUCCCAAUGCUGGCCUAGCCUGUUUGGGAUCCUGGGGGUUCCAAAGGGAUCCUGGGGGUUACUGGUUCCUUUCCCAAGAACAAGUUGCUUUUGCAGCCACCCCGAAUGCUGUUGUGUGCUGAAACAUAAAGGUAGCACUCUGCCAGCCUUUUGGGGAAGGUAGCAACAGACUCCUAGCUUGGGUCCCUUCCUUACCCUGUGCCCUUGCCUUCCUUCCUUUCAUGCUUACCUACCGUCAAGCACAGGUGGGCUAAGGAUGUACCCAGGGCCCAUUUCUUAUCUUGUAAGAGAUAGCUGGUGAUAGUCAGGACACAUGGAUUAAAAAUGGGAAACAUUCAG